rnacentral:rRNA from 1 species
UACAGAGGUCUCAAGCGUUGUUCGGAUUCAUUGGGCGUAAAGGGUGCGUAGGCGGCGCGGUUAAGUCGGGUGUGAAAUCUUGGAGCUUAACUCCGAAACUGCAUUCGAUACUGCCGUGCUUGAGGACUGGAGAGGAGACUGGAAUUUACGGUGUAGCGGUGAAAUGCGUAGAUAUCGUAAGGAAGACCAGUGGCGAAGGCGGGUCUCUGGACAGUUCCUGACGCUGAUGCACGAAGGCCAGGGGAGCAAACGGG